UCCGUAGGUGAACCUGCGGAGGGAUCAUUACACAAAUAUGAAGGCGGGCUGGAAUCUCUCGGGGUUACAGCCUUGCUGAAUUAUUCACCCUUGUCUUUUGCGUACUUCUUGUUUCCUUGGUGGGUUCGCCCACCACUAGGACAAACAUAAACCUUUUGUAAUUGCAAUCAGCGUCAGUAACAAAUUAAUAAUUACAACUUUCAACAACGGAUCUCUUGGUUCUGGCAUCGAUGAAGAACGCAGCGAAAUGCGAUAAGUAGUGUGAAUUGCAGAAUUCAGUGAAUCAUCGAAUCUUUGAACGCACAUUGCGCCCUUUGGUAUUCCAAAGGGCAUGCCUGUUCGAGCGUCAUUUGUACCCUCAAGCUUUGCUUGGUGUUGGGCGUCUUGUCUCUAGCUUUGCUGGAGACUCGCCUUAAAGUAAUUGGCAGCCGGCCUACUGGUUUCGGAGCGCAGCACAAGUCGCACUCUCUAUCAGCAAAGGUCUAGCAUCCAUUAAGCCUUUUUUCAACUUUUGACCUCGGAUCAGGUAGGGAUACCCGCUGAACUUAAGCAUAUCAAUAAGCGGAGGAAA
rnacentral:rRNA from 1 species